CAGCAGCCACGGUAAUACGUAGGGUGCGAGCGUUAAUCGGAAUUACUGGGCGUAAAGCGGGCGCAGACGGUUACUUAAGCAGGAUGUGAAAUCCCCGGGCUUAACCUGGGAAUUGCGUUCUGAACUGGGUGGCUAGAGUGUGUCAGAGGGGGGUAGAAUUCCACGUGUAGCAGUGAAAUGCGUAGAGAUGUGGAGGAAUACCGAUGGCGAAGGCAGCCCCCUGGGAUAGCACUGACGUUCAUGCCCGAAAGCGUGGGUAGCAAACAGGAUUAGAUACCCCCGUAGUCCCUGUCUCUUAUAC
rnacentral:rRNA from 1 species